GUAGGGAAUAUUGGACAAUGGGGGCAACCCUGAUCCAGCGACGCCGCGUGAGUGAUGAAGGCCUUCGGGUCGUAAAGCUCUGUUGCAGGGGAAGAACACAAUGACGGUACCCUGCUAGAAAGGAUCGGCUAACUUCGUGCCAGCAGCCGCGGUAAGACGAGGGAUCCUAGCGUUGUUCGGAAUGGUUGGGCGUAAAGCGGGUGCAGGUGGCUUGGUAAGUCAGAUGUGAAAGCCUGUUGCUUAAACCAAGAAGUGCAUUUGAUGCUGCUUAGCUUGAGUGCUGGAGAGGCUAUUAGAAUUCCUGGUGUAGUGGUGAAAUACGUAUAUAUCAGGAGAAAUACCGGAGGCGAAGGCGGAUAGCUGGCCAGACACUGACACUCAGACCCGAAAGCGUGGGGAUCAAACAGGAUUAGAAACCCGAGUAGUCC
rnacentral:rRNA from 1 species